rnacentral:rRNA from 1 species
UAGGGAAUCUUCCACAAUGGACGAAAGUCUGAUGGAGCAACGCCGCGUGAGUGAAGAAGGGUUUCGGCUCGUAAAACUCUGUUGUUAAAGAAGAACAUAUCUGAGAGUAACUGUUCAGGUAUUGACGGUAUUUAACCAGAAAGCCACGGCUAACUACGUCGCN